UCUCUGGUUGGAGAUCCCUCUCUUGCGGUGUCUUUCUAGGUCUUUGGAGAUAGGACUUCUUGAAGAAAAUAAGUUUCAAAUUUCUUCUAUGGAAGACUGCAAAUUUGUAGUGACACAGGAGGUGAUGAAAUCAUAGCAGGGAAUGUGAACAAAUACACUGUUCUCCCAGCUGGUUAUUCUGGACAGCCUAAAAAAGGACAUCUUGUAUUUGAUGCCUGUUUUGAAAGUGGACCACAAUGAGAGCAUUGAACUCCUGCAGGCUGGAGUUUUUCCCUGGAGGUUGUGGUCCUGAUAAAAUUGACAGGAUGAAGCAAAACUGACUGACAUUGAUACCUGGAGAGUAACUUGAUGAUUCCCUUUCUAAAUAAAAGCUAUAUUAAAUGCAAUUCCAGAAGUGGCUUUCCUAUCCUUACAUUCUGUGUUUCCUUGAAAUAUCUGGUUGAUAGAACUGAAGGGUCCCUUCUGGAUUUAUUUUUCAAUGACUCUUUAAUUUUUAUAUUGCAGAAAUGGAGGUAUGUACCUUUUUAGAAGAGAAAGAUUAUGACACUUGUAGAAAACAGGAAAAAUAUUAACACAUGUAAAAGAAAUGUUAGUAAUUCUUUGAUUUUUUUUUUUGUGAUGGCUGUCACUAAUAAGUAGUAUUGAGGUGUGUGAAUUUGAGGCAGAGGUGUGUUCAUGUAGUCUGAAAAGCAAUGCCUAUUUAGCUGUUUAAAAGGACCUUGUUUUAUAAAAUCAUAAAAUCGAACUGAAAUAAAUGUAGUUUCUUUAGUCCACUCUUUUAUUGAAAAGCAAAAUAUACUACCUAUACUAUUCCUGACAGAUAUUUAUCUUCCCUUCUCGCAGAGACUUAGUGAGGAAUGUUUCAAUAAGAAAGCAGCAAUCCACUCUGAUAGUUCUGUUUGCUCAUUAUAAGAAUCUUUUUCUUUCAAUGAGAGAUGUUCUCACCGAAAAUGCAUUAGUCCUUUUCCAGUAUGAUGGGUACAAAAAGGAGAUUACUCCUUUCUUUGACUUAGUGGAAAGUUGUUAUCUUCCCUUGACCUUUCACUCCUCAGGUUAAAUAACUGCUAUUUUUUUCAAUAGUUCCUCACUGGCCAUAUUUCCCAAAUUUCCUAUCGUUCUUUAUUUCCUCUGCACUGCUUCCAGCUGUUCCAUGCCUUUCUUGAUGUGCAGUGAUCCUAGAUGAACAUGAUAUUCAGAUAUGCUGAUGCCAAUACCUUGUAGACUUUAUUGCAUGAUAUGCUUUGCAAUCUGUUUACUUCUGUGACUCAGUCCAAUCUUUUUCACAAUAGCAUGGCACUACUGACUUUAUUAAAUUUGUGAUCCUUUAUAUUCUCCAGAUCCUUUUCAGAUGAGCUAGCAACUAGACUGUAGCUUGCACUUAACUUAUUCUAGAUAAUUUUAAUAGUAGUGAAAGAAUAUUUACUGUAAAAUAAAUAAAUAAUUGAAAAGGAAGAAUAGAAGUUGAAUCAUUUAUCUUAUAAAUAACAGAUGAAAGAGUAAAGCAGAGAGAAUAUAAUCAACUUGCAAAUAUCUAAAGAAUUUGAAUUUGUGUUCCCAUAGUUCAAGCUAAUGUUCUAACAAAUGGAAUCUUCCUUGUUGUCUUUAUUAAUAUUUAAGAAUAUGAGUCCAAUAGGAACUUGUCACAUUCACUUAUCAUUAGCAUAAAAGAAGAAAAUUUAGAUUUCUUGUACUCAUAUGUCACAAUGUAUUUUUUUGGGUGCUGAUUUUCCCAAGAUAUGAGUUGGUUGUGUUCCUAUUCCAUCCCAAAACUAUCUCUACAAAGAACUUAUAAAAGGU